GCACCGGUGGCUCAGUUGGUAACAGGGAUGGCUGCCGAUCAGAAGACUGGGGUUCGAUCCCCGCUGCCGCA